CCUACGGGUGGCAGCAGUGGGGAAUAUUGGACAAUGGGGGGAACCCUGAUCCAGCCAUGCCGCGUGUGUGAAGAAGGCCCUCGGGUUGUAAAGCACUGUCAGUGAGGAAGAACGCCUGGUGGUUAAUACCCAUCAGGAAAGACAUCACUCACAGAAGAAGCACCGGCUAACUCCGUGCCAGCAGCCGCGGUAAUACGGAGGGUGCGAGCGUUAAUCGGAAUUACUGGGCGUAAAGCGCGCGUAGGUGGCUUGAUAAGCCGGUUGUGAAAGCCCCGGGCUCAACCUGGGAACGGCAUCCGGAACUGUCAAGCUAGAGUGCAGGAGAGGAAGGUAGAAUUCCCGGUGUAGCGGUGAAAUGCGUAGAGAUCGGGAGGAAUACCAGUGGCGAAGGCGGCCUUCUGGACUGACACUGACACUGAGGUGCGAAAGCGUGGGUAGCAAACAGGAUUAGAUACCCCUGUAGUC
rnacentral:rRNA from 1 species